AGCAGCGGGAGCGCGAGCCAGAGUGCCGAAGGGAAGCGGGAGCGUGAUCGAGGUUGCCAACGGAAAAUUACGGGGUUUUUUUCCCCCGUAUAAAAGCAUUCCUCGUGCAGCAGUGACCUUCUUGUUUGGAGCGGCAGGAUCGCAAGACAGGGUGCCGACGCGAAGAUAAUAAAUGACCUGUGGCGCAGUGGCCUUCUUGUUUGGAGCAGCGGGAACGCGAGCCAGGGUGCCGACGGGAAGCAGUGGUCGUCUUGUUUGGAGCAACGGGAGCGCAAGCCAGGGUGCCGAAGGGAAGUACUGGGAUAGCUCUGGAAUCAGCACCAAUUCUCCAAAGUCAGCAAAUGGUAAUGAACUGUGAACCCCAUGUUUACAGGUGACUAUCAAUCAUGCAACAGAUGAAUGAUGGAUAUUUUUGGAGGAAAUGGUGUAUAGUGGUAAUGUCAAUGAACUCGUAAUCCAGCCUAAUGUUCCAUGCACAGAAGUUCACAUCACACCACAGCAGC